AGUAGCCGAAGCUAGGUGAGUUAGCCCGGGAGCCGCUGUCCGGUAAUGGAACCCGCAGUGCUACACAGCAGAGUAACGGAGCGCGGACGGGGCAGGACGAGGCUUUCUGUCCGCGGCCGAGGAGCCAUUUUACCGCCUCCGCGGACAGAAAGAGUCCGCCAUGUGGCCCUCCCCCCCCGGCUCUGCCUGCUGCUGCCCCGGGCUCUCCUCUACAGCCGGACCGGGUCCAACCGGCCUCCCGCUGCACCGGAACACUAGCAGCACCGGCAGACAGGAAACCGGUUGAUAUUAAGUUGUUUUCCGGAGGAAGUUACACAGAAACGAACUAUUUUACACCGCGGCGGAAAAACUACUUCCACAUCCGGUUAACUGGCUCCUCCAGGAGCGGAGCAGCCCGCCAACGGCUCAAUUACCCCCGGAAACGCUCUUAAAUCACUACACAUGCUGUUCUGGUGCCUUUUAUACACCUGGAGACGAAGAUAAAGGUGGUUUAACGCCCCGGCGGACCGCAGCGCAGCUACUCACCGUCCCAGUCGGUUAGUCCGCCGCAGCUCUGCUAAGCUAACAGGCUAAACACGACCAAUCCCUCCGCGGCUGGGGAAGCGGCUGUGCUGCGGCUUUUAUCACUCCGCGUUCACAAGAAAUAGGUUUGGUUCAGAGCUUGUUUUAUGUUGAAAGUCCCGGCCGGAAGUGGAGCGUCGUUGCCGCCGUUGUAGCUCAGCUAGCUCCGUUAGCCGUUAGCUGUUAGCUGUUAGCUGUUAGCUCAGACUGAGAACAAGUGUAAUUAAAGCUAUUUUACCUUAAAUCUCUCGGAUAAUCCCGCGGGUUUCCGUCCCGUGACGUGGCUCAGACUCCGACAGGUAGCUCACCUGCCGAGCAGGAUUUAUAAAAGUAGUUAUUUUAGUGUUUUGUUUGGUACCAAUAUGGCGGCGCCGCGACACCGGAGCAGGAAGCCGCAGCGAGUUAACCUCCCAGUGGGCGGGCUCAGGGACGGAGCCCCGGCGGCUGGUCUCAGGUCAGUCUGGGCGGGAGAGUCUCAGUCUGAGGCGGGAAACUCCGAGCAGAAGAACUGACCGGAGACCAGCCGGAGAACAGCCGCCAUGAUGCCGCAGAGCUCAGCGCUGCUGCUGCUCUCCAUUAGACAAACACAUCACUUUAUUAUAAUAACAAUAAUAAUUAUUAUUAUUAUUAUUAUUAGAGAGGCAAAGAUUUUAACUAAGGGGUCUAAAACACAAGUUCUGAUAUUUAUAAAUUAAUCUAUCACAGCAAAUAUUAAAUAUAUUAAUAUAUAAAGUAAAUUUGAUUGAUGUUAUAUUAAAUAUAUAUACAUACAUAAAUCUUUAUUUUUGUCUGUGUCUAUUUUUAAAGUCUGUUUUAUUUCACUAUGAAACACUUUGUAAAGCUGCAUUUAAUGUCAUGAAAGCUUCCAUAAACAUAUAUAUAUAUAUAUAUAUAUAAUUAAAAAAACUGCCGAUUCUGUGUGACAUUUUAUAUAAUAUACAUUCUUUGUGAUUUAAAAAAAAGAAUGAUUUGCUUUGUCAGGUAUUUCACAUUGUGUUAUGUAUUGUGGAAGAUGAUUUAUUAUCAUAAACAUUAAAGUUGUCAGCAACCAACUCAUUGAACCUUAAAAAGUUCCUGUUUUAUCUUUUUCCUAUUUUUU